rnacentral:rRNA from 1 species
AGCGAACGCUGGCGGCAGGCCUAACACAUGCAAGUCGAACGAACCUUCCGGGGUUAGUGGCGGAUGGGUGAGGAACACGUGGGAACGUGCCUUUAGGUAUGGAAUAACUCAGGGAAACUUGUGCUAACACCGAAUGUGCCCUUCGGGGGAAAGAUCUAUCGUCCUUAGUGCGGCAGGCGUCUGAUUAGCUAGUUGGUUGAGGUAAAGGCUCACCAAGGCGACGAUCAGUAGGUGGUCAGGGAGGAAGAUCAGCAACAUUGGUACUGGGACACAGUCCAGAAUCCUACGGGAGGGGGGAGUGGGGGAUCUAGCGCAACCGGGGAAAUCAUGAAGCAGCCAUGCUGCGUGAAUGAUGAAGGUCUUAAAAAAGUAAAAUUCUUUCACCGGGGGCGAUAAUGACGGUACCCGGAGAAGAAGCCCCGGCUAACUUCGUG